GACGAACGCUGGCGGCGUGCUUAACACAUGCAAGUCGAACGGAAAGGCCCUGCUUUGGUGGGGUGCUCGAGUGGCGAACGGGUGAGUAACACGUGAGUAACCUGCCCUUGACUUUGGGAUAACUUAAGGAAACUGGGGCUAAUACCGGAUAGGAGCUCCUGCCGCAUGGUGGGGGUGGGAAAGUUUCGGCGGUUGGGGAUGGACUAGCGGCUUAUCAGCUUGUUGGUGGGGUAGUGGCUUACCAAGGCUAUGACGGGUAGCCGGCCUGAGAGGGUGAGCGGACCCACUAGGACGGGAAUGCGACCCGGACUCGUCCGGUAGGCAACGGUGCGGAAUGUUGCAUUAGAGACUGGGGCCAGGCCUAGCCCAGCCGCGUCGGGUAUGAGGGGCUUCGGUUAGUAAUGUGAAGUCGUCUGUGCCGAAGCGUGAGUGACGGUACUGGGUGAAGAAGCACCGGCUAACUACGUG
rnacentral:rRNA from 1 species